rnacentral:rRNA from 1 species
GCAUGAAGCCGGAAUCGCUAGUAAUCGCGGAUCAGCACGCCGCGGUGAAUACGUUCCCGGGCCUUGUACACACCGCCCGUCACACCACGAGAGUUUGUAACACCCGAAGUCGGUGAGGUAACCUUUUUGGAGCCAGCCGCCUAAGGUGGGAUAGAUGAUUGGGGUGAAGUCGUAACAAGGUAGCCGUAUCGGAAGGUGCGGCUGGAUCACCUCCUUUCUAA